AUGCUUAACACAUGCAAGUCGAACGGUAACAUGGGGAGCUUGCUCCCUGAUGACGAGUGGCGGACGGGUGAGUAACGCGUAGGAAUCUGCCCAGUCGUGGGGGACAACUCGAGGAAACUCGAGCUAAUACCGCAUACGCCCUACGGGGGAAAGCGGGGGAUCUUCGGACCUCGCGCGAUUGGAUGAGCCUGCGUUGGAUUAGCUAGUUGGUGGGGUAAAGGCCUACCAAGGCGACGAUCCAUGGCUGGUCUGAGAGGACGAUCAGCCACACUGGGACUGAGACACGGCCCAGACUCCUACGGGAGGCAGCAGUGGGGAAUAUUGGACAAUGGGCGAAAGCCUGAUCCAGCAAUGCCGCGUGUGUGAAGAAGGCCUGCGGGUUGUAAAGCACUUUCAGUCGGGAGGAAGAGAGGGUCGUUAAUAGCGACUCAGGAUGACGUAACCGACAGAAGAAGCACCGGCUAACUCCGUGCCAGCAGCCGCGGUAACACGGAGGGUGCGAGCGUUAAUCGGAAUUACUGGGCGUAAAGGGCGCGUAGGCGGCGUGAUCAGUCAGAUGUGAAAGCCCUGGGCUUAACCUGGGAAUUGCAUUUGAUACUGUCAUGCUCGAGUUUGGUAGAGGGGAGUGGAAUUUCCGGUGUAGCGGUGAAAUGCGUAGAGAUCGGAAGGAACACCAGUGGCGAAGGCGACUCCCUGGACCAAAACUGACGCUGAGGUGCGAAAGCGUGGGUAGCAAACAGGAUUAGAUACCCUGGUAGUCCACGCUGUAAACGAUGAGAACUAGCCGUUGGACGCAUUACGCGCUUAGUGGCGCAGCUAACGCAUUAAGUUCUCCGCCUGGGGAGUACGGCCGCAAGGCUAAAGCUCAAAUGAGUUGACGGGGGCCCGCACAAGCGGUGGAGCAUGCGGUUUAAUUCGAUGCAACGCGAAGAACCUUACCUGCCCUU
rnacentral:rRNA from 1 species